UACGGAGGGGGCUAGCGUUGUUCGGAAUUACUGGGCGUAAAGCGCACGUAGGCGGCUUUGUAAGUUAGAGGUGAAAGCCCGGGGCUCAACUCCGGAAUUGCCUUUAAGACUGCAUCGCUAGAAUUGUGGAGAGGUAAGUGGAAUUCCGAGUGUAGAGGUGAAAUUCGCAGAUAUCAGGAGGAACACCGGUGGCGAAGGCGGGUCUCUGGACAGUUCCUGACGCUGAGGCACGAAGGUCAGGGGAGCAAACGGG
rnacentral:rRNA from 1 species